rnacentral:ncRNA from 1 species
UACCUACAUAGGCAAAUUUUACGAAAGUAAAGGACGCAAAGCCACGGGCCUAAAGCAAACUUUUUUGCCAUGGUAGCCGGGUUGCAAUU